rnacentral:rRNA from 1 species
AACGAACGCUGGCGGCAUGCCUAACACAUGCAAGUCGAACGAGACCUUCGGGUCUAGUGGCGCACGGGUGCGUAACGCGUGGGAAUCUGCCCUCUGGUUCGGAACAACAGUUGGAAACGACUGCUAAUACCGGAUAAUGACUUCGGUCCAAAGAUUUAUCGCCUGAGGAUGAGCCCGCGUAGGAUUAGCUUGUUGGUGAGGUAAAAGCUCACCAAGGCGACGACCCUUAGCUGGUCUGAGAGGAUGAUCAGCCACACUGGGACUGAGACACGGCCCAGACUCCUACGGGAGGCAGCAGUGGGGAAUAUUGGACAAUGGGCGAAAGCCUGAUCCAGCAAUGCCGCGUGAGUGAUGAAGGCCUUAGGGUUGUAAAGCUCUUUUACCCGGGAUGAUAAUGACAGUACCGGGAGAAUAAGCCCCGGCUAACUCCGUGCCAGCAGCCGCAGUAAAAC